CGACAUCCUUUAGUGCUGCAGGAGAGAGGGGGCACGAGGAUUAAACAAAACAGCCCCAACUGCAAAAGGGCAGCGAGGAAAUGUCAGAGUUGCCUUGAUUGUCCUUCCUGAGGGCUCCCAAGCACCUUGCUGGAAGGAGGCAGUCCUUCUGCCAGAUACAGGCUCCCCAGACAGCAGACCCAGCCAAAAACCUGUUUGCUCACCGCUGCGGCGAUGUCACCGCCAGGACCUGUAAGUGGGAGUGACAGCGCAGGGGGUUCUGCUCGGAUCGCUUUCCUGCAGCCUGUGUGUCCGAAUGCACAAGAGCUGGCCCCAUCCCAGAGACGCUCCUGGUGUAUGGAGGGAGCAGCAAACACACUGUCAUUGGGCAGGCAGGACAACACCUGGACAAUCCCUGCACCCCACAGAGGCUUCCCAACACAGCUGGGCAAGGAGGAAGGAUGGGGUCAGCCAUCACUUCAAGCAAGAAGCAGCAGGACUCAUCCACCCUCAGGCUGCCCUGCAUCAUCUUGGAGAUGAGACCCCAGCGCCCCACCAGCCCAAGCUUCACACAGUGCAGCAAGCCAAAACCAGAUUGAUUUCUGCCAUCCCUGAGGACUGCCUGAUGACUGUGGCUGCUCUCACCACCGUGUUGGUCUUCCAUCCCCACUAAGAGGCCAAACCUGAGGAGGGUCUUGUUUUUAUUAACAUGUUUUACAUCUUUUCUAACCUCUCUGCCAGCUGGACGGCCGUGCUUCCAGGGCAAUUACAUGCAUCAUCUAAACAUCAUCUGAAAUGAAGGGACUUCAUUUAAUUAGGUUAUUUAAAUGACACGUUUGAUGGGAAAAGCCAAGCGGGCUUAGCAAAACGUUUAACGAUCACGUUAGCUUGCAUGCAUACAGAACAUUAUCUGAAAUUAAUGGCAAGACUUCUGUUGGCUCCGGAGGCUGCAGACCAGAUGUGGGCAGAGGGUGACAUGGGGAGCAGCCACUGGAGCCGACCUGGGAGCAUGGGCACCAUCCUGUGGGCUCUUACCACUGCUCUGUGGGUUUCCUCCCCCUCUACAAACAGCACUUCUGCAAUUUUCACCUAUUUGUGUUAUUAUUUUUCCCUCCUGCUAUUCCCUCUGUGCAGAAAACAAGUCCAAAAGAGGCUUUUAAAAGGGCAAAUUCCUUCCCUUCAGCAAAACCAAACCUGAAAGCAUGUCUCCGUGUUGAAAAAGAAGAAAUCUGGUAUUUCGUACCAAAACAAACAGCAAUUUAGUUCAAUUCUUUCAACUCCUUCCUUGCAAAUCCAAAAAGCCCAAACCAAAGGGCAUGUUUUUCUAACAACUUGUUUGCAAAGUGUGACAGAAAAUAUUUCCCAUUUCCUCAGCCUUUAAGAAGCUCUGCAGGUACAAAAGGCAGAACAUGCCCAGCUGGGCAUCUGCUGAUGGAAGGCACAACCCAAGGAGUCACACUGAUGAGCACAGCAUUAAAAAUAGCUUUGCCCAGACAAGCUGCAUGUAACCUUGUCAGAUGCUAUGCAAUAAAAUUCUGG
ensembl:lncRNA